rnacentral:tRNA from 1 species
GCCGCCGUAGCUCAACUGGUAAGAGCAUCGGGCAUGUAAUCGGAUGGUCGCAGGUUUGGUCCCUGCCGGCGGCA